rnacentral:tRNA from 1 species
GCGUCCUUAGCUCAGCUGGAUAGAGCAAUGCCCUUCUAAGGCAUAGGCCAAUGGUUCGAAUCCAUUAGGGCGUACCA